AAAAUUUCUUUAUUUGAACAUAGAAGCUUUAUCAUCUUUAUUUGAACAUUGAAGCUUUAUCAUAAACAACAACAUCAAAUAGAUUAUAAGUCUUGAAAUAUCUCACAAUUGCUUUAUCAUAAGUUUUUGUGAUUUAUAACAUAUUGAAGCUUUACACAGAUAGAGCAAUACACAAAUUCAUAUACAUUUAUAAUAAACAAUAUCAGAUAGAUUUAUAACAAAAUCAGAUAGAUUUAUAAAUCCAACUUUUGAAGCUUUACACAGAUAGAGCAAUACACAUUGAAGCUUUACAUAGAUAGAGCAAUACACAAAAAUAAGAAGGGCAAGAAACACAAGGUUUUAGGCAGGGUUUACUCAUCGUCUUCUUCAACCUGAUUUCCACUCCUUAUCCACCCAUUCCACCUCUCAAACCAGAAGCAACCAAUAUCAACGAAGGUAACCAUGACUUCGUCAGCUAUCUUCUCCCCAAGCCCCAGAGGUGACCUUCAAUCUUCAUGGUCAACUAAAACUAUCAAACCACGAAAACCACAAAAACCCUCUACUCAUCUUCCCACUCUUCAGCUCUUCAAACAUCCAUCUCAAAACCCACUAAUUUAUUCAUCCUCUUUCCCUCACAACCUUAAAUUACCAUCUCUAAAAGAUCCAAUUUCAUCCACCCAUUUGCACCCACUGCCUGACUCCGCCGACGAAAACUUCACCAAAAAUCUCGAAAAUCUCACAACUUUACAGCGAAUUACACAUAGGUUUGAUUCGAUAUCUACUCCGGAGAUGAACCCGAAAAGGGUUUAUAUACAAGAACCACCUUAGAUUACUUCAUUGCUGAUGAAGAAUUUCUAUAGGAGUAAUGUUAAAAAGAGGGUUAGAUUUGAAAUCGAUAAGAGAAAUUACUAUAUAUUGAGAAGGAGACAGAUAAAGAUAGAAACAGAGGCUUGGGAGAAAAAUCAAAUUCAAUUGAUGCAGAAAUUAGAGGGUAGAGAUAGAGAGGGAGCUAACCUGCAGUAGAAGAAGAAGAUUCGGCUGAAGGAAGGAGGAGAUCAGAAGGGAGAUGGCAGCGACAUGGAGGGAGCUGUUCGAUGAAGGUGGAGGAGGCGUCUGAUUUUGGACGCGUUAUUUUUAGGUCGUGAGAAAAUUACUCAUUACUUAUUCGUUGUUUGCCCUGCUUAGUUCCUUUUUAAGCUGAGAUUUUAAUA
rnacentral:lncRNA from 1 species